CUGACAGGGCCCUUACUCUAUUAACCAAAAAAAAACGCCAUUAAGGGAAGGAGAAGAGAGAUGAGCAAAACAAGAAGUAGAAAAAAUGGUAGAAAUACACCACCAAGGAAAUGCUAUCAUGUUACCUUGCUCCGCGGGAAUUUACUUAACCGUCUCCAUAGGAAUGGUCUGGCCCAGCUAUUAAAAGGUUCACACAGAAAAAAGAAAAGUUGGGAGACAAAAUUAGCUGAGUAGAGGCCAUGUCUGCUUUUGGAAGGGCUAUGGUCAACUCACAGUCCUGCUGAAUCUACAGAGAGAGAGAGAAACUAGACCCCAGGCUGAGUAGUCUGUAGUGAAUUUUGUAUGCAGCUCUCAACAAAAGAGCACUCAGACACCCUGGCACCAAAGAUAUGAACAAGAAAACGCUGAGAACAUAUAUCUGUUUAUCCGUCUGUGAUCCCAAAAGAACUCAUUUAGUAAAAGGUCUUGGACUCCAAAUGCAUCAGUCUGUUUCCUUCCUGAUGGUCCCUGCUACAUAUGUGGCCGCUUGGACAUCUGAAAGGAAAGGGGCCUGUGCUAUUCUGAUGUUCAUCCAGUAAACAACAAAUUGGUGCUUAAAAUGGGGAAGCGGGAAGCUCUUCCCAGAAGAAUCCAGAUUCCAGGAUCUAAGGGGGUCAUGUUGAUCCUAGAAGCAGCCACUGUGUGAGGAUCCUUCUGUCCAUGAGGCCACCAAAUCUAUUCUGCUCCUGGGGACCAGACAAGGUAGGGAGUCUCACAAGCCACAGUGGAGAAUGGGAUUGGAGUUGAUGGUGAGUGGAGGAAGAAAUCCCAGGCUUGGGCAUCGGGGGCUCACAACUCUGUCUGCUUCCAGCUCCUGGACCAGAGCAGCCCUUCCAUGCGAAAACUAAUGCUUCAACUUCACACACCCGGAGGUGCCUCCUGCCUGCCUUUACCCAAGUCUUCCACCUUUCAUCACCCCUAAACCUUUUGUACCGCUGUGCUCCUUUCACAGUGGGGCCUGGAUAGCCACUGCUUCUGAGGCCAUAGUCCCAAAAUACCAUACACCAAAAUGGGACUUCUUUGAAGACCCCCGGGAAAGUCUGUUUCAGUGACUUUUCCUCUAAACAGGGACUCCAGGGGAAGCUCCAAUCUUGGUUUGGGGGGCAUAGCUUCCAUGCUGUGCCUCUGUGCUGUCUGCCGGAAGAUUUUGAAGUGGAAAAGGACAGAGCUGUGUGGGUUGUGCACGGAGUGGUGUGGGUUCUGCUGGGUUGCUUUCUCUGAUCCUCAAAGACCUUUUUCCAUCCUACCUCCAAUCUGACCCAGCCUAGGGCACUCUGAAGUCAUGGAUUGAUCCUUUCUCUCCCACACAUAAAGCAGCUUCUUUCAUACUGAUAUUACCUAAGCAGCCUCUCACAAUUAGGCUUGGAAUGGAGGUUCAACAGCUUUGCUCUAGGGUGGCUUUGCUCUGGUAUUUUCACUGUAAUAGCUACAGAACCACUUAGGAACAUUUCAUAAACCCUGGAAAUUUAAAUUGGCUUUUCAGAGAUCCAUUAGCUCAUGAAAUCUUAGGUUGUGUCACUGUUGUGUGAGAACCCAUAGAAACGGGUAUGUAAAACAAGCCUCCAGCAACCACACGGUUCCUCACAGUGACUUCUCUAUAGCCAGGGGCCAACAGAUGUGACUAGCUAAAGUGAUUGGCUAAAGGAGGGGGCGUUGUCAUGGGAAACCAGGACAUCUCACUUGCAGCAUUUUCUUAACCCAGUGGGGAAAAAUGUUCCAGUUCUUAUUUUUCUGUUUGACAACAAGAUGCUCAGCUAUCUGGAAUUCAUCUGUGAAGAGUCCCACAGGAAUUUGGCAGUGACAUCAGAGCAAGGGAACUCAUUCUAAGUGAUUAAAAUGGAAAGUUGUGGCCGCAACUUUCUAAUAUCACCAAUUCACAACAGAUUUUCAGUCCUCCGUGGCUGAACCACCACUUAGCUUUUUAGGAAGGAGAGACACAAGGCUCAGCCAGAGGAAUUUGGAUCAUCUCACUACAAUCGUGUGUGAAGGCAGAGGGCACAGACAAAAGAGAAGAGAUGGGGCCGUCAAGGCAGGACCAGGGGAUCCAGAUGGCACAUCUUGUGGCAUGAUGCUCAUUCACGUCCAGCAGUGCCGCAGGGAGGAGGCAGAAAGACUCUGGGCCUCAGCCCCACAUCAGAGCCUUGCCAGAGCCAGUGUCACUGCAGCAACUGAGAUGGAGCAAGCCCUGAGUCUGGAACACAGCUUUUCUCUUCUUGGCAAGGAACUGCCAGCUUCACCGACCAUGGUCUAAUCCAAGGAGCUACAGAAUCCACAUGACCCUUUUAUGGAGCCUCCCUGAUUUCAGGCUCCUGCCCUGGAUACAGAGCCAGAAAGAGCAAAGAAAGGAAAUUCUGUGCUUUUCAAGUUGUCCGAAAUUUGUCCAGGGGAGCCCCUUGAAGCAAAUCCUGUGUCAUUUUGACACACCUUCAGUUUUAAACACCUUAUGGUGGUAUUUAAAAUGAAAGAAAGAAAUCAAGGUUGAAAUGCUGAAGAAGGAAGAAGAGCCACAAAGGACAAGACAAGAGAAAGAUAGUUCUGAUGACAAUGAAACUCUUUUUAACUAAAACAGAACUCUUGUCUUCAGCCAGAGCUCUCUGUUGUCCACCGCUGGGACUUAGAUAUAUUCAGGAGCCACAGGGACAGGCCUGACAACAGGAAACAUACAUGGAAAGUCUCCUGGGAAGAACUCAAGAUUUUUCACCUGAUGGACUUUAAAGUAUUAAGGCAUGCCUGGCAAAUAGUCUAUUUUCAGAAGGGUGAAGGAAGGUAGGACUCAUCCUAAGGAAAGAGACAGUUGGGCACAAUGGAUUGGUCCUUGGUUGUUAAAGGAGAAUAGAAGUUAUUAAAAAUGAAAGUAUGGGGGAUACUACAGGAAUCCACCUCCAGCCAGCCCUGUAGGUGAGAGAGAGGUAACUGAGAGGAAUGGGAACUCUAGCUCAUGGAGGUUCAAGCAACACUGCUUUGGAACCCUUCUAGCAGAAGGCAACACACCGGGGAGACAGCUGCACUUCCCCUUGGCAGCACAGCUUGUUAUGGAAUGAAUGUUUGUGUCCCUAAAAUUCAUACACUGAAAUCCUAAUCCCCAAUGUGAUGGUAUUAGGAGGUGGGGCCUUUGGGUGGUAAAUAGGUCAUGUGGGUGGAGCCAUCACGAAUGGGAUUAAUGCCCUUAUAAAAGGGAUCCAGAGAGUUGUCCCUCUCGUCCUCGCUCUCGCUCUUGCUCUCUUCCUCCCAUGUGAAGACCCAAAGAGAAGUGAGCAGCCUGCAACCCAGGAGAGGGCCUGGCCUUGCCAGAACCUGGCCAUGCUGCACCCUGACCUCAGACUUCUAGACCUCCGAGCUGCGAGAAAUACACUUCUGUUGUUUAUAAACCAUCUAGUCUAUGGUAAUUAGUUAUAGCAGCCCUAAUGAGCUAAGACACAACCCCAUACAGCUUUGGUUUCCAGGGAAGCCACAGCAGAAUCUACUUUGGCUGGCAGAUCACUUGCACCUGGUGGAACAGUGCAGACACUACCAGAGAGGGCUUCUUUAUGAGAACCUUGGGACUGACCCACAGAAAUACAUGAAAUGGAAAAGAAGAUGAACUAUUUAGAUAACUCUACAUGAACAGCCUAGGCCGAUUAAUUUAGGCUACAAAAUAAAUAGUCCUUUGCCUGGGAAGUAGACAUGGAAGUUAUAAUGAUCCCUGAAACAAAGGCUCAGUGGGGUCCUCCUGUGUCUCAAGGCCAACUAGCUAGUAAGUAGUACUCACAGGACCUGAACUCCUAGUCCAACAUCCUCUCCACCUAGCAGAAAGGAAAUGAAGGCAGAUGUGGAAUUCCAGAAGGAUGGAAAGAGAAGUCAACAUCGCCACAGUAAGAAAAGUGUGGAUGAGAAUGAUGUAGGAAGAGUCAGAAUGGUCUGCAUACGAGAGCCAAGAAGGUCACCUCAGGAACCCCAAGACUGAGGAAGAGAUUCCAUGGAAGCCAAAGGUACCCCAGGGCAGCACCGUUAAGGGACAGGAGAGAUCAGGAACAUGCCCUACUGGCUCUGCCUCAGAUGACCAACAAACACGGUCCAUAGUCAAAUGGAAUGGGGAGAAUAAAGGAAAAACUGCACCUCAACGAAAGCAGAAAUGAUCACAGGCAGAAUCACAGUGGGGAAAGAAGGCAAGAAGCAGGAACAAUGAAACAAAAGUCGAUGUCAGGCCUUUGUUGGGCAAUACCCACUAUUCAUAAGUAUUUGUGAUAGACGAAGAUGCCCUCAGGGAAACACUUCAACAAAAGCACAAGAUCAAACCUUGACGGGAAUGGCUGCCAGUCCCUAAUACAAACCUUUGCUUAUUUAUUUUAAAUCUCUGAGCAUCACUUACAGGAAAAAUAAACUUUCCUUCCAAAACUAAGUUUGCUUAUAUGCAUUGUCUAUUGCCUCCCCCUAGUGAUUGGAUAUGUGAAAUGCCAUAAGAAUCUAUUGGCAGAGCUGGAGAAAUUAAGUGACCGCGAUGAUGGUGAUGACAAUGACGAUGAUGAUGAUGAUGAUGCCUUUUUAUACUUGAACAGUACUGCAUGCUCCUCAAAGUGCUUUCACACAGGUAAUUUCAUGUAUCUGGAUAACUACUUUGUAAAAUAGACAAUAUGGAUUCCACUUCCAAAUCAUCUCACACUGACAUUGCUUUGGAGCCUAUUAAUCAAAAUCCGAGACAGAAAACUACCUAGGGAUUUGGAGUCAGACCUACAUUUGUAGCCUGGUGCCACCAUGCACCCCUUUGUGAUUUCGAGCCAGUGGCUUAAACCAUGAGCCUCCAUUUCCAUAUGUGUAAAAGGGGUUGAGACUGUAUAUAUCAUAGAGAUACAAUAACCACUAUAUGAAUCAUUCAGUACUGGCUUGAGCACUGUGCCUGGUGUGAGGUAAGACCUUUUAAAAUGUCAUGGUGGUGGUUGUUGUUGCUGCUGCUGCUGCUGCUGCUUGUUAAUGGCAUCUUUUAGGAGUGGUCUUUCACUUCCUCAGGAUCACAUUUAUGAUUUCUGAGCCUGCUGGGAGACAAUUCUUCCUUGUAUCUAACUGAAAAACAUGUACUUUACUUAAAUCUACUUUCAACCAGAUGCAGGAGCUUGUGCCUGUAAUCCCAGUGCUUUGGGAGGCUGAGGCAGGAGGAUCGCUUAAGGCCAGGAGUUCAAGUCUGCAGUGAACCAUGAUCACACCACUGCACUACAGCCUGGGUGACAGAGCAAGACCCUGUCUCAGAAAAAAAAAAAAAAAAUCUACUUCUCUUUCUCAAUUUUCCUUAUUUUCCAGUUAUUUUUCCCUCCUUGGCCUGGCUUAUGACCUGUCUUAGGGUUCAUUUCUAAAGCAGAAGAACCUUGGCCUGACAAGAAGUGCAAAAUUGCAGGGUGUCCUUUCCAGAUGCUCCUUCAGAUGCUAUAAAGUCUGCCUGUCCAGCCUAGGAACCCUGGGAGCUAAGUGCAAUCAGAAGAGCACAUUAGACCAGGCGUUGCUCAGAACAAUUCUCUUCCUCAAAGACUUUAUCCCUGGUGGUUAAAGAGGAACUAGUGGUCAUAAGAAAGUGUGGAAAAAUCAGAUAGGGAGCUUUUUAAGACUCUAAAUCUGGCUUAUUAUCAGUGAGCAAGCUUAUGAAGCACACAUGCACCUGAGUGCAUGCGCACACACACACACACAGAGGUUCACAGCAAUUAUGGGCUUAUGAGAUCUGCCUGGGGAUAGCGAAAAGUAAUUCCUGAAGUCAGCUACCAAAAAUAGCUCCAGCACCUGGGCUUAGCAGACGUCAGGAUGAAAAGCAAACAGCUUAUUCUUGAGCAAACACUUUUGACACAACCACAAGUCACCCAGGCAGCCCUCAUCGCAGGUGCUGGCCUGUCUCCACUUCAUGGAGGAGUCAAGAGUCUGCCACAUCCCAUUAGGCCUUAUGAAAUAAUAAGUAGGAGAGAAAGUAAAAUGGUAUUCAGGAACUACAGAAACUUCUUUAUCCUGAUGCUUCCUUCCUACUGCUGAAGAAAACACCAUCCUUGCCACCUCCAAGUGGCAGAAGUCUAUAAUUCUUUUUCCUGCAUACUAGGAAGGUCUUUCUCAAUAGUUAUGCCCUGGGAUGUGAGAUACCAGCCCACACAAUCAAGCCCGUGCAUGCCUCUCUGCAAUGAGCUUGGAGAACUCAUACUCCAGUCCCUAAAGUGCACACAGCAGACUCCAUCCAAGUGUCAGUUUCUUCAAAGCUUCCAGCCUUCCCUGUGAGCCCACACCAAGGGUGGACAAAACUGUAACAAACCAGGGACCUGCCAUGCUGACCCCACCUCAGGAGCCAGGGACACUUGGGAACCAGAGGCCUAAUUCACUGUGCUUAGCAUCGUAUUUGCACCACCAUAUUUGCACUCAACAAUAUCUGAUUGAAGGAUUCUAUUCAUGCACAUUGAAAAAAAUGAUGUCUCCAAGUCUUAGGUGAUGGUGGGUGAAAUGUACAGGACCAAGAAGAUACAGCUCUUGCGCUGGGAGAUGAACAUUCAUUGAGUACUGUCUACGUGCCAGGCAGUGUAAGAUGCUUGACCCACAUUUAUCCUAUAGUCCUCACAAUGAUCUAUGAGAAGGUGUUAGAAUCCUUGCUGGACAGGUACAAAGAUUGGGGCUGUAAAAGUUUAGGCCACUCGCUGAUGGCUACACAGCUUGAGGAACAGAACAAGAAUUUGGAACCAAAGGCUGUCUACUUAAAGGUGGUGUGAUUACAAUGCUGACAUCCUAAGAAGCAGCAAAUGUUACUGUGAGUGGGAACCUGAAAAGAUGGCUCACCUGGCUGGGACAAGCUUAGCUAAGGCAGCAUUUAAUAGGCAAGCUGUGCACCUCCUCAGUCCAGUCUGGACACCCAAAUCUUGACUGCAGUUGUCCGUUGAGGGCUACCUUAUUCAAGAACUGAAGAGGGUUCUUUAACUUUAUGAAGCCAGCACAAAGAACCAGAUAAGAAUGACCACAUUCACUCUAGGGAAUGAGGUUAAGAGCAUAGAGGUUCUAGUGUCACAUUACCUGGGUGACGCCUUGAUUAAGCCACUUAGUAGCUGUAUGAUCUUGGGCAAGUCAAUGAAUCUCUCUGGGUCUCAGUUUUCUCAUCUGUACAAUGGGAUAAAAAUGGAAUCUACUUCAUUUAGUGGAAGGUUUAAUGAGAUGAUAUCCUGAAAGUACUUAGCACAGCAGCUGAAACAUUGCAAUUAUUCAAUUCAUGGUCACCACUGUUAUUACUAUAUUCCUAUCAUUACAGUUAUCAAUCAUAAUUAUAUACAAUAAAAGAUAAAUAAUCUGUACUAGGGUGGA
rnacentral:lncRNA from 1 species